UUACGAAGCGGUGUUAGGGCACGAAGAAUUUUGAUUUCUUAGGAAAGGAUCAUAUCCUUCUGGUAAG
rnacentral:tRNA from 1 species